rnacentral:rRNA from 1 species
AUGAUCUGGCAUGUACAGAAUGAAAACUUCAUUCUCGAUUCUACGAGAAUUUUUAUGAAAGCAUUUCAUUUGCUUCUCUUCAAUGGAAGUUUCAUUUUCCCAGAAUGUAUCCUAAUUUUUGGCCUAAUUCUUCUUCUGAUGAUCGAUUCAACUUCUCACCCCCAUAUCCAAAUAAAAAAGCGGUUUAAGCUCGCCGUCCAUGAUCGCCGCUCUCUUGGGCGCCGGUUGCUGCUCCCGUCGACAGUAACCAUGGCGUGUGAUGCAUUGAUGGAGGAGAAAAAGGAGAGAGAAAGAAAGGAGAUUGCAUGA